UAGUGCAUCGUAGAGUUGGUAGAAAUAUUUGCAGAAAAUGGCAAUUACGUGAUUCAUUAUGCUACCGCGUGUCUGUUCCGCUGACCGCGGAAUCACCACAGAAUGAGUAAGAAACAACUCAAAUUUGAAGACCAUUUUGUGGCCAUUAUGCUGGCCACAAAUCCUUUCUUCUACUGCGGAACUGCAUCACAGAUCUGACCAGACCCAACCCAAAAUUUGAAGACCAUUUUGUUGCCAUUCUGCUGGACGUGGAUGCUGCCGCAGAAUUGCAUUGCAGAGUUGACAUACUAUUUUGUGGCCAUUCUGCUAGCCACGGAUCUAUUUUGCUACCACAGAAUUGCAUCAUCUAAUUGAGCGCGGGGGUUAUUUUUGAAAAUUUCCUAAUCCAACUCUAUUUUUAUAUAAAGGCCUUAGGGGGACAUUUUAGAAGGUACAAUCUGAUGUUUUAAGAGAGAGGGGAGGAAUUAGUGAGAGAAGGAGGAGCUCCAACAUCUUUCACUUCAAAUUCUUGAUCAAGCCUUGGGUAUUCAUGAGGGAAAAUCUCAUAAGUCUUAUAUUAAAAAGGUAAGACCUUUCCCCAGCUCACAUGCAAUAUCCUACUAUGCAAUUAUGAGUAAGAUUGUAUUAUUUUGGGGGUUUAUGGGAUAGUGAUCAAAAGCCUAGCCUCCAUUUCGAAUUUGGGGUGUGUGAGGAGAAGGUGGGGUGUGAUUGGUGAUUUAGGGGUGUGACGUUGGGUAUGCAUGUAUCAAUGAAGGUGAUGUGGAGGAUGUUGAACUAUAGUGGGUAGAUUAUUAUUUGAAAUUGGUUGUGGGGUGAAAUUCCACCAUAAAAACCUUAUAGUCAAAAUGUGCACACUUAAUGUUUGAUGAAAUGCCAAUAAUGGCUAAACCUAUAAACGCCUCCCUAAUAGUUGUUCUGUUUAAUUAUGCUGCUAUAGAUUGAAGUGCUAAGACUAGUGGAUCGUUGUAGUAAUCCUAAGAAAAUCUCAAUCGAGGUAUGUUGGCUAAACUCUCACCAUAAAAUCGAAUUUUCAUGAGUUCCUUAUGAAUUCCACGUACGAUUUGACCAAACUCCCAUGCUUAUUGUGCUAGAUCAUUACAAAUGUUUUCAUUUAUCGAAUGUCUAAUUACUCAAAUCAUGUCUCAGUUUUCUCUAUAUGUAUAUCAUACUCUCCCUUGGGAAAUAGUCCUAGUAUGAUCGAAUCAUCAAAUGAUCAUGAACUCAAUACAUGGUUCUGUUGAAAUUACUACGCUCUUAUUUGUAAAUGUUUCUUAUGUAUUCUAAGCCCAUAUAUAUCACGAGCCGAAGCUAUGAUUUUCCAGAUAUUUUAUAAGUGACUUUAAAUGUUUUAUAGUCCAUGUCAAAUGAAAGAAUGAAAGCAUGAAGUAUGAAAUGCAGCCAUAGUGCCAAGAAUGAUGAUUUACAUUUGUGGCCAAGAGUGCCAAUAAAAUGAGAGAAAGUAUGAAAGGAUAUGAAACAAAUGUGAUUCCUGUAAGUGAUAAAUUUUUUGGGAGUAUUGUUAGGUCACCGAGGAAGGCUGGGUCAUAAAUGCCCAAGCCCGAAACUACACAUACUAGUGUAGGAGUAGAUUGAGGGAUGAAUUCCUGUUAUGUAUUAUAUUGAGAUUAUUCCUCUUGAUUGGGAUGAUUUGAUAGCAAGCAAAAACCAUGUCGACCCACACGACAUUGUGGUGAGACGACCCAUACGAUCGAGCAGAGAUCAAACACCAUGCCAUGCACAUGGUGGUGUUGUGUUUGUAAGUCCACCCGUAUAUAUUGGGGUCGAACUCCAUGCCAUGUGCAUGGUGGUUUGUUGGUACCUAGGAUCUCCCAACCUAAAAUGAGAGCUACUUAUUUGAAGUUUUACUUUAUUUAAACCUGAAAUUUACAUAUUAUUGAUAUACUUACUGUUUCCAUGUAUUUUAUCCUUGGAUGUUUUUAUUCCAUUUCAUGAGAGGGUAUUUAGAUUUAUAUAUUAGUACUAUUCCAUAUGUACUAACGUCCCUUUUGCCAUGGGCGCUACAUCUUUAAUAGAUGCAGGUGGUUCUGCAACAAGUGGCAGUGAUUGUUGAUAGUAUCAUACCCUCUUCUAAGCGAUUUUUGGUGAACAUUAUGCUAUACCAAGGCCCAUAUGUUAUAUUAUCUUCAUGUACAUUUACUUUUGAGAUAUAGUCAGGGCCUUGUAACCCGCACUCCCAUAUGGUACUCAUGUUCUCCUAGAAGCUCUGUAGACAUAGUGUGGGUUGUGUUUUGAUUUGGUAAAUAUACUAUAACUAAUGUAGUUAUGGGAUGUUCCACUUUC
rnacentral:lncRNA from 1 species